AACGAACGCUGGCGGCAGGCUUGACACAUGCAAGUCGAACGCCCCGCAAGGGGAGUGGCAGACGGGUGAGUAACGCGUGGGAAUCUACCCAGAUCUUCGGAACAACUGAGGGAAACUUCAGCUAAUACCGGAUACGCCCAACGGGGGAAAGAUUUAUCGGUUCUGGAUGAGCCCGCGUUGGAUUAGCUAGUUGGUGAGGUAACGGCUCACCAAGGCGACGAUCCAUAGCCGGUCUGAGAGGAUGAUCAGCCACACUGGGACUGAGACACGGCCCAGACUCCUACGGGAGGCAGCAGUGGGGAAUAUUGGACAAUGGGCGAAAGCCUGAUCCAGCCAUGCCGCGUGAGUGAUGAAGGCCUUAGGGUUGUAAAGCUCUUUCAGUAGGGAAGAUAAUGACGGUACCUACAGAAGAAGCCCCGGCUAACUUCGUGCCAGCCGCCGCCGUAA
rnacentral:rRNA from 1 species